CAGUCGCCGCGGUAAUACGUAGGUGGCAAGCGUUGUCCGGAAUUAUUGGGCGUAAAGGGCUCGCAGGCGGUUUCUUAAGUCUGAUGUGAAAGCCCCCGGCUCAACCGGGGAGGGUCAUUGGGAACUGGGAAACUUGAGUGCAGAAGAGGAGAGUGGAAUUCCACGUGUAGCGGUGAAAUGCGUAGAGAUGUGGAGGAACACCAGUGGCGAAGGCGACUCUCUGGUCCGUAACUGACGCUGAGGAGCGAAAGCGUGGGGAGCGAACAGGAUUAGAUACCCCCGUAGUCCCUGUCUCUUAUAC
rnacentral:rRNA from 1 species